rnacentral:rRNA from 1 species
AGAGUUUGAUCAUGGCUCAGGACGAACGCUGGCGGCGUGCUUAACACAUGCAAGUCACGGGGGCCCGCAAGGGCAACCGGCGAACGGGUGCGUAACACGUGAGCAAUCUGCCGAUCUCUGGGGGAUAGCCGGCCCAACGGCCGGGUAAUACCGCAUACGUUCUCGAGGGGGAGUCCUCUUGAGAAGAAACCUCCGGGGGAGAUCGAGGAGCUCGCGACCUAUCAGCUAGUUGGCGGGGUAACGGCCCACCAAGGCAGCGACGGGUAGCUGGUCUGAGAGGAUGGCCAGCCACAUUGGGACUGCGACACGGCCCAGACUCCUACGGGAGGCAGCAGUGGGGAAUAUUGCGCAAUGGACGAAAGUCUGACGCAGCGACGCCGCGUGUGGGAUGAAGCCUUUCGGGGUGUAAACCACUGUUGCCCGGGACGAAACUCUCCUUUCGAGGAGAUUGACGGUACCGGGUGAGGAAGCACCGGCUAACUCUGUGCCAGCAGCCGCGGUAAUACAGAGGGUGCGAGCGUUGUCCGGAAUCACUGGGCGUAAAGGGCGCGUAGGUGGCGGGAUAAGCGUGUGGUGAAAGCCCGGGGCUCAACCCCGUGUCUGCCAUGCGGACUGUCUUGCUCGAGCGUAGUAGAGGCAGGUGGAAUUCCGGGUGUAGCGGUGGAAUGCAGAGAUCCGGAAGAACACCGGUGGCGAAGGCGGCCUGCUGGGCUACUGCUGACACUGAGGCGCGACAGCGUGGGGAGCAAACAGGAUUAGAUACCCUAGUAGUCC